GUGCCAGCCGCCGCGGUAAUACGUAGGGGGCAAGCGUUGUCCGGAAUCAUUGGGCGUAAAGAGCGUGUAGGCGGCCAGAUAAGUCCGCUGUGAAAACUCGAGGCUCAACUUCGAGCUGUCGGUGGAAACUAUUUGGCUAGAGUCCGGAAGAGGAGAGUGGAAUUCCUGGUGUAGCGGUGAAAUGCGCAGAUAUCAGGAAGAACACCCGUGGCGAAGGCGGCUCUCUGGUACGGAACUGACGCUGAGACGCGAAAGCGUGGGGAGCGAACAGGAUUAGAUACCCCCGUAGUCC
rnacentral:rRNA from 1 species